rnacentral:rRNA from 1 species
UCCACGCUGUAAACGAUGUCGACUUGGAGGUUGUGCCCUUGAGGCGUGGCUUCCGGAGCUAACGCGUUAAGUCGACCGCCUGGGGAGUACGGCCGCAAGGUUAAAACUCAAAUGAAUUGACGGGGGCCCGCACAAGCGGUGGAGCAUGUGGUUUAAUUCGAUGCAACGCGAAGAACCUUACCUACUCUUGACAUCCAGAGAACUUGGCAGAGAUGCUUUGGUGCCUUCGGGAACUCUGAGACAGGUGCUGCAUGGCUGUCGUCAGCUCGUGUUGUGAAAUGUUGGGUUAAGUCCCGCAACGAGCGCAACCCUUAUCCUUUGUUGCCAGCGCGUAAUGGCGGGAACUCAAAGG